GACGCCGCCUGACCGCAUCGCUCAGACCUGCUUUAAGAACUCGCCCAGUUUCCAAGCUCUAGGUGGUUAUACAGCUAAGAGGAUUUUCGGCGACCCUGCUCAACUAAAUUAAAGCAGCGAGUUUCAAAAAAUAAUUUCCUAACUAAUUUUGUUUUACUGAAGCGUCUUCUGAUGACCGUACAGAAUAUUUUUCUAUACUAAAAUUUGUUGACAAUUGUUUUUCGGGGUCGCAGUUUCCGUCAAAGAAGAAGAAGUUCCCGUCACGUAAAAUUUAUCUAGUGAUCUUUUUUUGAUUUUAUUUUCUUUGAAUAACUAUCGUACUUCUUUAUGCAUCCAUUUUCCUUUAAUACUUUUCCGCAGAAAAAUUAAUUCGAGGACACAUGAACUCUUGCCACAGUCGGCUUCAAAGUUUUCUUGUUCAAGGUGCAUAAAUAUAAAUAUUUUAUUUUGAUUUUGAAGCAUAAUUGACUCCUCACCCUGCUGCUUAUCACUGCGUGAAACAUAAGCUGUAGGCCCUUAAUCUUAAAAGUUAUUUUUAUAUUAAAAAGCCUAAAUGAGUGUGAGUGAGAUGAUAUAUUCUCUCGAGCACAUGUUUCAGUGUGUGAGCUCGUAAAAGUGGUAAUUUUCUCUAACCCAGCAAAAAGUUAUCAGACGGAAAGCGAACAACAAUUUAGUGGACACAAAAAGUUGCAAAUAAAAUCUAAUAUCCAUUUAGUGGGUUACAUGGGCUUCCUUGGGUAAAAAACAGACUUUUUUCAGCGACUUUUUUCUCAUAUAAAAAAUAAAAUAUUUUAUUAGAAGUUUUUAUUGUUACAAACAUACACUAUUAACAGAGAAAUUCUGAAAUUUUUGGAAAAAAAAUAUUUUAAACUCGGCGACCUCUCGGAAAAAAGAUGCGCCCGCGUUGUCAGGAUAACUCCUUGCAGAAUCAUCUAAAGUGAAAAAAUACGUGUUUUAGUGAAAACCUUUACUUAGAACUUGGACGAAGGAAAAAAAAAGAAAAUUGGAUUUUUGGCGGACAGUUUUACAAAAAAAUUUAAAUUUCGCUACAUUUUUUUUUAUUGUUGUAUUAGAAAAAAAUCCUUAGUCCAGGUUUUUAAGAAUUGUAUCUCAAAGACCAAUGUACAAUUUCAUGAAGAGCGGUUGAGCAGUUCGAGAAAAAAUCGUUUAAAGACGGCGCACUUAGCUUAGCUAGCCUCGAACGCACAAGUCCUCAGGUAUUUAAACUAUUACUCGGAUAAACUUGAAAAUUCAGGACAAUACUUUAGAGAUGUUUUAGAACUUAAUAAGACAAUAAAAAGUCGAUUUUUUUAAACCCGUAAACCCAUGUAACCCCUUAAAGACUCCUUCAAAAAUAUUUAUCAUUAAUGGAUCACGAAAACCUUGUGCUUGAAAACCGUGACCGUUUCGCUCAUUUCUAUUACCAUUAAUUUAUUUGCUUAUGUUUUCAUUACUUUCACUUUCAUUACACUGCAGGCAGGUGAAUUUGGUAUUAUGCAUAAACUGUAAAAAAAUUGUCUACCUAAAUUACUGGCACCAAUAUAUUUAACUAUUUAAGUAUUGUAAAAAGUUAAUAAUUAUAUUUCCGUCUUUCUCUCUCUUUCUCUUUCACCGUUAUGUUUCUGCGCUUUUGUUUCGUUUAUUUCAUUAUUUAUAUUUUCUAUUUGCUGCUUGUGAACUUGGCUGGCUUUAACGCUCAUAUUGCUGUUCAACCACAAAAAUCUCAACGAAUACAACAACAAAAACUAUACAUCUUUGCUUUACACCAUGCUGCGCCAUCACCAUAUACAUAUGUACAUACACAUGCCUACACAGCCGCACAGCUAACCAAUUGAUAACAAAAACUGUACUUUAUCAAUACGCGUGAAUUAUUGCACAGUUGUAAGUGCUUAAAGCAACGCAGUGAAGGAGUCGGGAAAGUUGCAAUAGCGAACGAAAUGCUUCUUUUUAAGUUUCGCUGUAUAUAUUUAUGGUGAAUUAUUUUAAGUAGAGCCAUAUGCGAUAGUAACUCUAGUGGAAAGAAUACAAACAAGGACAGCGCUACGCACACAAGGACACCUCAAUACACACACAGUCACCUACACGAAUACACACGCACACACACAAACACUUAGCAAGGCUCCACCCGAGGCUAGCUGCGUGCACACAGCACCUUUGUUGACAUAAAGCAGCGAAGCUGGAAUAUUUUUAGGCGCACACAAUGGCUUCUAAAAAUGGCCACCAGCGAAAAUACACAAGUCUGUAUGUGUGUCUUAGCACACAUAUAUAUUGCCAAACACGUAGCUGAACUUUUCACAUUUUCAAGCAUUUCCUUUGUGACGUGCGCCAGCUACAGCAACAACAAGAAAAACUCAAAGCAAAAACCGCUAAAUAUGAACAAUACUUAAUGUUAAACGAUAGAAGAAUGUUGAAAAUGGAUUAUAUAUGAAGGAAGUGCGUUGAAAAUGCUUUACUUUAGAGAAAUGAAUGCGCUGAUGAAACGAAAGCUUUACAAUAAAAUAUAUAGCAACCAAACUAAGUUCUAAAAUAUGUGAAAACUAAACUAAGCAACUAAAAAAAUUAAGAUUACAAAUAACAUAACUCAAAUUAAAAAAACAACAAAAUUAAAAAAGUUGAAAACAAAAAGUAAUAAUUCGGUGUUAAAAAUGAAGAUUUUCAAAACUCUUUAAUAAAACAAAUGCAAUGUGAGCGCAUUUAAUUGUCUACUCGAAACCAAUGAGAGCUAAUUUAUAGUAACGACCUUGUACUGUUAAUUGUGCGUGUGUCAAAUUUGGGGUUCCGCAAAGACUUGUGCGAACUAGUGCAAAUAGCUAAUGGUCGUGUUGACUAGUGUUAAGUAUUUAUACUUGCGGAGGUGUUGAAUGAGUUUGUAUUUACAAUGUUGGCACUGAAUGGUCUCUUUAUGAAAGGGAAUAAAAUUGUUUACCUUCUUAACUAAUUGUAGAAAAAAUUGUUGUUGUUACAUAAAUUUGUAUGUGCGUAAAUUUGUGUUGGUAGUGAGCAAGAGACUGUGUACUACAAAAUUCCUUAACUAUUACAAUCCAUUAUAAAAAAACUUAACUACAACUUUAACUGCAAUUUUAACAAAAAUUUUAACCAAAAUUUUAUCUACAACCUUAACUACAAUUUUUUUCUGCUUACAUACAUAUGUAUAUCGUCACCAAAUAUUCAAAUAACUUAACAUCACUUUUGAUAAUUUUGCAGGUGAAGAAAAAGCGAUUAAUAGAAACCACGCAUAGAAACAAAAUUUAAGUUUUGGUUAUAAAAUGGUUACAUAUUGGUUAUAUAUUGGUUAUAUAUUGAUUAUAUAUGACAGUGGAAGCUGAAAAUUGUAUGCUACCUAUAUGUAAUAUGAUGUACAUAGUGAAUCAUAAGCAAUAAAAAACUCAAUUUCAAUUUUUUGGAUUAUACGUUAUUUUGCAUUUUAGGUGACGAUAUAUUAUUUUCAUUGUAAUAUCAGUUGCUCUCUACGAAAUCGGUGAAGACUUGUGAAAUAAAUUUAUACUAAACUUUCAUUUAACUUAUGCAAAAACUAUGAGGUUUUUGUAAAACCAUUUUGACGCCACAAUUAAAAUUACUUCAUUGAAGCCAAUAGUGCUUUCGGUGGAGGUUUUGUAAAAUUUUCUUGAAGAGAUAAUUAAAGCCACUCCUAUGCCUUGGAAAAAAAAUUGGAUUGUGAUGCCCUCGUAACUUAUUGUUGUUUAGAAAAGUUUGUUAAUUGCUUAUAUACAUGGUGACGAAAAAGUACACGGAAGUUGUAAAUAAAAUGCAAAAUAUUUAAUUAUUCAUCCAUAUUUAUUUUGUAGCCUUCAAUGUAAUCCACACUUGAUGUUAUACGAUUAUGCCAAUGACUUUUUCAGUCUUCGAAGUACUUCAAUUAGCUCUUUUUGGGAUGACCUUCAGCUCCUUCAGUGAAUUUUGUUUUAUCCCUUCGAUCGUCAGAAAACGGGUUCCACGGAGCGACAAUUUCAGUUUGAGCAACAAGAAAAAAUCACACGGAGCCAAAUCUGUUGAAUACGGUGGAUGAUCGAUUGUAUUCAUUGAGUUUUUAGCUUUAAAUUCGGUCAUAAUCGUGGCUUGGUGCGAUGGUGCAUUAUCAUCGUGUAAAAGCCAUGAAUUGUUCUUCCACAAUUCCGGACGUUAUCGACGAAUGUUCUCACGCAAACCUCUCAAUACGGCCAAUUAGAACUCUUUAUUGACAGUCUGUCCUUCCGGAACAAGUUCAUGAUAUACCAACCCACGAGUAUCGAAAAAAAGAACAAAAAGCAUCACUUUGAUUUUUGAGCGGCUUUGUCGUGUAUUUUUUCGGUUUCGGUUUGUUUUUCUCCUUCCAUUUCGAUAAUUGUUAAAUUGUUUGCAUGCCGAACUUAUAAACUAAACACAUGACUCAUAGGCGAUUAUAAUGCUGUCUAUGAAUGUGGGAUCGGAAGUCACACGAUCGAGAUCUGUUUACCGUACUCUUUUCAUACCCUAAAUGUUCACCAAAAUUAUUCGAACGAAUCUAAUCACAAUUUUCGGGUGCUUUUUUGCCACAAUAUAAAAUAAAAAUUAAUAUUAUGUGUGGUGGAUUAUCGAAAAAGUACCUCCUUAAACCCCUAAAAGAGGUGCAACAGGCCUGCUUGCUGGGGACAAUAAAAACUACAUCAAAGGCUCUCAAUAUCCGGCCAAUACAUGUUAAAGUCAAGUAUAAGGCUUACGGUCAGCCGGCACAUGUUCACUUUGAGCCAUACUCAGCUACGGCCAUGGUAUCAUAUUCCAUCUUGUUAGUAAACUCGGUUAAACUGACUAUGUGAUUGACGAUCACCUUCCAUUAGCAAUUAAGACAAAAUUUUCAUUCUCCGAUAGAGAAAAAUGGACCAAUGGUUCUGUAAUCGACAUUUCCAACGAUGGAAUCAAUAUAUUUGCCAACGGAUCACGGUGUAAAAUUGAAAGAUGGACACGUUUCUUCUUUAGUAAUCCAUACACAGAAGGUACAUUCAAACUAAAUGAAUAGAAUUUAGUCUUUCAGGCCGGAAUUAUGGGUAUAAUAGAAGGUGGCAAGUGAGCUUCUGCUGUAGCCAGCAAGUCCAUUGGGGGUCCAUGCCGUAUCCGUGAGACCAAUACUAAGUCUCACUGCAUUAAGGUAUGCAAGAACGCAAUAAAUACUACUCAGUAGGUAUUUCGGUUAAUAUCAUCUGUGUACUCAGUCAUAUAGGAAAAGAAGGAUAUAAAAAGACUAACGAGUUGGCUCGCUCAGGGGCAAUACACCGUUCCCUUACUGUGCCCCAGACCAUUUUGUUUCUCCAAGGGCUAUUUUGCGUUACUCUCAGGUGUUCAAAAUAGUUGAAAGGGGAGAUAAUGUGAUCUCAACAAAUGAAGGCCCUGGGGGCGACGCACAACUGACCCUUCUUCCAAGGAACGGUGCACAUUGGUAUUUCCGUGGCUGAAAUUCAAAAAUGGCGUGUUGUCUGAUUUGAAUGAAAAUUUCACAGUUUGUUACCAACUAUCUAUACACUAUUUUCCCAAAGUAUUAGGAUUCUAUCUGCAUUAGUUUUUUGUCCAGAACUGCCCAAAGUUGGUGAAUGUGGAAAACAUCAAAAUUAGCAACAAAUUUACUCAAAAGUCAAAUCAUUGAUACAAUAAAACAACUAUUGAAAUUCAACUUUAUUAUUAUUUUUCAUUUAUAAUAUGUAUCAAAGAAAAAAUUUGCAUCAAAAUCCAUUAAAAAAAAAUAAUGCAUAAAAAAUAUUGUGGAACAACAUAAUUUGGACGUCAAAAUUUCAAUGUUCUUCAAAUUCAAAGUGGUGUAUCUUUUUAGCGCUGUCUACCGCUGUCGACAUACAUACACCGAAUUAAAGCCUGAAGUCUCAGCUAAAUGAUAAAACAAAAUUCAGCUGCCCCAAAUUGCCCCCCUUGAAAAAAACAAUGAGAUACUCUAAAAUGGCAAGUUACCGCCCAAAAGUAUGCAAUAUACAUAUAUAUAACAAGGAUUACAGGAACUAUAGGAUGUAUCAUUCCAGAAGAAUUGGACGCAUAUCCACUAACGAAGAUGUGAUGCAUCACUUACAUAUUAAUGUCUUCGAGUCCGUACAUAAACAUUUUUCUACUACUAAAAUAAUAUUAAAAAAAUUAGAAUGUCACGAAGAUGUAAAAAAGUUGCUAAAAGAGACUUGAUAAAAGAGAAUUUAGUUUGUAUGGGAGGUGGGCGUAAAAGUGGGCGGAUAUUAUUGAAAUUUAACACCAACAUAUAUAAUGUCAUAAAAAUGCUAUGUACCAAAAAUCAGUGCUGUAGGUCAAAAAUUAAGUUUCACCUUAUAUGGGAGGUGGGCGUAAAAAGGGGGGCGUGAUUUUGAUUUUUUAAUUUUUUUCUUGAUUGGAAUCCAAAACAAUGAUGUACCAAAUGUCAUUGUCCUGCGACAACUCCUUAUAUUUUUAGCCGCAGUAUGCACUAGCAGAAACCUAUGUGCGGUGUUACGAAGAGGGUAAAUUUAACAAAGAAGCUUUGAGUUACUCUCAGCAGUAACGCUGAGUGGAGUGAUUCCACGCUCGACCUACCACUGAGGGGCAGCACAAUCCAGUGGCACACUGACGGUUCGAAAAUACCGGAAGGCAUUGGAGAAGGCAUUAUGGAACCGCAUACCAAACUAUUCAUACUAAUGAGACGUUUUCCGAGCAUCUUUCAAGCAGAAGUAUUUGCUAAAAGUCAGUGUGAAAAAAUCAACCACCACCGCAACUAUCGCAACCAGCUUAUCGCUAUACUUAGCGAUAGUGAAAUGGCACUAAAGGCGAUCUCAGCUUAUGAAGUCGAAUCGCUUUAAGUGGAGGAGUGUAUAGGAAGGCUGAAUCACCAUCAGUUUAUAACCAUGUACACAUAAUAUGGGUGUCCGGACAUAAAGAGAUAGCCGGCUGGCCGACGAACUAGCCCGCUCUGCGGCAGCGUCCAGGAUGAUGGGGCCACAACCAUGCACUGCGAUGGGGUCCCACACUAUAAAGGAGUUGAUCCGCUUGGAAGAAUAACCGAAAAUUGCACGCCCUCUCCAUUAUUAUUGAUUAUCUUCAUGCUGAUUCUUUUCGUUUUUUAUUUUUCUUAUUUCUUAAGCGUGAAAAUUUUGAAGUAAACUCUUAAAAAUCAGCAAACAGUCUCUUGCUCAAGUAUGCGUUGCGUAAUAUGAAAGCAGGAAAUCAAAAAAAAACUUUUUAACUUCAAUCAAUACUAAACUCUCUAUAUUUUCCCGAUAUCUAAACUAAGCGACAAAUACCACUUGUUAUAAAAUUACAAAAAAAAGGAAAUUAGCAAACAGUGAAUUGAUGUAUGUGUCUUUUAAUUAGUAAAACAAAUCAAAUUUACCUAAAUAAUACUAAACAACUUAGUUAAAUUUGUAUUGAAAAUAGCGUAUUAAUGGAAAUCAAACUAAUAUUAGAUAUUAUAUCAAAACAACUCCGUUUAUAUUUAUCAGAACAAAACAGAAACAGAAACAGAAAUUAUCAAGCAGAAAAUAUGUGAAAUUGAAUUUGUUAUGUAAAUAAAUCAAAAAUCAAAUACCAUAAUUACAAAUAUAGGCCUCUCGUUAUAUGUAUAUGUGUGUGUAAAUGUAUGCAAAAACAUAUUUUUUUUUAAUAUUAUUCACAUUAUGUUGGUAAAAGGUUGAUUUUAUUUCAUGCAUCUCUAUUAACUGCUUUCCUAAUACUAUGUUGCUAAUCUUUCUUAAUAAAUUUGCCUGAAGUAAUGUGAUCCGCAGCUUGAGUCCAAAGCAAAACUAUACUUCCUUAAUAUAAAACUAAGGGGCGAUCCUUUUCGAGGUUCUCUACUUUUUAUAUGAAAAAACACAGAAACUAUAACCAAAGUCUCCUUUUCAGUUACAAAGUAUGCAACUCAAGAUUUAACGUGAUGAAUGUUAUAACUUGAAAUAUCUAAGCAAUCUUUGAGUUUUAUACGUUUUUUAAAUCAAAAUAUCGCCCCAAGCUUUACUGUGAAAAAAUAAUUUAAUUUUUAAAUAACAAUGAAAGUCUUACUUUUUAACCUUUAAACUGACGUUAAGUGAAAAAUUAGACUUAAACUUGACUUCUUCUUCUUAAUUGGCGUAGACACCGCUAACGCGAUUAUAGCCGAGUUAACAACAGCGCGCCAGUCGUUUCUUCUUUUCGCUGCGUGGCGCCAAUUGGAUAUUCCAAACGAAGCCAGGUCCUUCUCCACUUGGUCCUUCCAAAGGAGUGGAGGUCUUCCUCUUCCUCUGCUUCCCCCGGCGGGUACUGCGUCGAAUACUUUCAUAGCUGGAGUGUUUUCAUCCAUCCGGACGAACUUGACUACAUCUUCAAUAAAGGCACUUAAAAUAAAAUGACAAGUCUACCUGAACUUACUGAAAGCCGAAAUAAAGUACCAUCUAACGAAAUUUUAACCGAAACGACAAAAAUACUAAUCUAAAUAUUUUAACGCAAAUCUUUAUCAUCGCCUCCAAAAUUUCUGCUUUUGAGCCAAUACAUGCAAGCCAGUGCUUAACUUAAUUUUCCAACUUAUUGUAAGACUCGACUGGGGUUGUAUUUAGUGCCUUAAGUACCUUCAGCGUAUAACUAUUAACGACUUCAAUGUACUCAAGAAACACUGUCUCCAAUUGUGUUUGGGCAAAAAGUCAAUGACAAUCAUGCUAAAAUUUGAGGAGGAGUCGGAGUUCAAGGAAGACGACGAUAUGGGUUUCGGUCUCUUCGACUAAACAGCUCAACACUAAAUAAUGUUGAUAAAUUCAUGAAUUUUCUCCACGUGAAAACCUCAAAACGUUUAAGUAAUAUUCGUAAUGAUCGUUUGACCCUGUGGAAAGAGUUCUUGGUGAACCACACCAUUCGUUUAUACCACAGAUUCUGGUCUUUUAGCAUUAACCGAAAUGUCGAUCCAUUAAAGAUAUUGAUACCCUUUACUUACACUCUGAUGGCAAUGCGAUGAUUUUCAACCACUUUUUCUUUAACUUUUUCGAUGUAUCGUCAUUAAUAGGUGUGAAAGGAUGUGCAUGAGGCCAGUUUUCGAUGGCUUCACUACAAUGGAAAGGAACCUUGAAAGACCGAUUGUUCACAAGCAUAGAUGGCAUUAAAAGCGCAUUGCUGAAAGAGUUAGAGUUAAAGGCUAACAGGCUAUCCCCAAAAUCGAGUUUGAGAAGUGUGCCGACAAUUGGAAGAAGCCCUGACAUAAGUACAUAAUAUCGAUUGGGGACUAUUUUGAAGGCAAAGGCAUUAAUAUAGCCAAAUGAAUACAUAUAACGAAAAUGUCCGUUAUUUUCUGAGCACUCCUGGUACACUAAUUGACAUUAAGGAUCUCAAAUUUCAAACUAACUUAAAACUUAUUGUACUAAAAAAUCAAAGGAAUUGCUUAUCGUUUCGAUCAGUCCGAUUGAAAUUUGAUCAGAUGGUAGACGUAAAAAAAACAAAUGUUAUUGGUUUGCAUCAGUCCGAGUCAAAUUUGAUCAGAUGAUAGAUGUAUGCAGAAAAACCAAAAAACUUAUUUAUUGAUAGGGUAUUUCUCAGUUCGAGUCGAAUUUGAUCAGAUGGUAGAUGUGUAAAAAAGAGCAAAAAACUUAUUUAUCAGGUCAGUUUGCAGCAGUCCGAAUCAAAUUUGAUCAGAUGGUAGAUAUGUAUAUAAAAAGAAAAAAAACUUUUUAAUUGAUUCGGUUUGCAGCAUCCGAGAUAAAUUUGGUCAGUUGAUAUACUUUAACUUACUUAAUGCAUUGUAUGAUAACAACUGCGGACCACUUUGUUUCUCAGAUUUUAUACUAACUUUUAAGUAUUUUGUUUGCCUCUGUAUAGAAAACUAAUACACAUUCACCCAAACUAUGUACAUAUCAACACCAUUAUUUCAGUAAAAUUUUUUGUUUUGGUGAACUAAGUGAAUUUCACAUGGUCCAAUCAGUUGUAAGCCUAACCAGUCCUGCCAUAACUUAUGUAAAGAUAAAUCUGUUUAAAUGAAUGCUUGAAUGGCUUUACAAAUUACAAAUAUGUAUUUAUAUUUAAUUUUCCUGAUCGUUCGCAACUUUUUGUUAAAAUACUACCCCUUCUUUAUUGUACUCUUCGGUUCAUCGAACAAUUUGCCUAAACAAUUUUAAUAACAACAAAUUGCUGUGUAUUCAUUUCCUCUUUAGUGAUGUUUUUGUUUUUGAAUUUAAACAUUAGCAGAAACUUAAAAAUGUGUGUAUGUAAGUAGGAACUUAAAUAAUUUCAAUGUCUUUUAUCUACAUAAGAGACUUCCAAAAGAUUUGCAUAUUGCAAAAAAAAAUAAACAUAAAUAAAUACCAUAAAUAAAUGUAAGUUUUUAUGUAAAGAAUAAUAAGAAUGUAAUAUAAAUACGUAUGUAUAUGUUUGUAUGUGUGUACAUUGUAGUCUUCCGAAACAAGAAAAUAAAAUUUCAAAUAGAACAACGUUCUUCAAGCAAACGAAAACUAAACAAUCCAAAAGUGUAAGAAAAGAAAUCAUAAAUUUACGAAAAAUUAUUUGCAUAAACAGAACCAACAAUAACAAAAAAACAAAAACAAUCAACAAUAUGAAAACUGACGUAAAAAAGUUUAAAACACAAAAAAUUUCGCAAAACUCUUGUACCUUAGAAUGAAACAAAUCCCAAAGCUUUUUAAAGUAGUGAGUAUAUAUUUCAAAUUGGUGUGUGUAUAUUAGAGUACAGUUAAACGCUAAAAUGGCACUUUAAAUUAGUAACUUGUAUAUACUCUAACUAUGUAGCAGAUUACAAUUAAACUAAACUCAUAAUUACAGCCACGAACAGCGUUUGGAAAUGAAGAAGUGAAGGAGAAGCGCAAUGUUUUUGAACAAACGUUAAUAUUUUUAACGGUAAAUAACAAGCGCGAACUAUUUUUCGAUACGUGUUUGACGAUAAAUUCAAAACUGAAGUGGGCGACAGUUAAAGUUUAUAAAGUGACGGCUAACAAUAGCUUUCUAAAACAACAAUACUAAAGUAACGUGCAAUAAAAAUAGGUUUCCAUUUUCCUGUAGAGCUUCUUAUUUAAGUUAACGUUUACCGCGUUUCUUCAAAAACUUAAUACUAUACCAUAUAAUACUCAAAAAUGCCACUAUAUAAAAUACUAUAUACUAUAUAUUGAAGUUGGUAUACUCAAAACACUUCUAAAAACACCCACCAUAACAAAUCUACAAACUAAAUCACUGACAAAGUUAAGAAUCAUACAAAAAUAAAUACAUAAAUGGUGGAUUAGAAAAAAAUUAAAAUUGGAUUGGAAAUAGAAUGAGCGUAUUAAUUUUUUUCAACAAUAUAUUAACAAUGCCUAAGGUAGGGAAAAUUAUUGAUACAAGGUCUGUCGCAAAAGAAAAAGAACUUUUUAAAUAUAACUGUUCCUGGUGGCGCCACCUAUUGGUGGGUAUAUGAAAUAAAAAGUUUGAUCUCUUGUUGACAAUUCGUAAAAAUUUUAAGACAAUUGGAAAACUACAAUCGAUGUUAUCGAUCAAAAAGUGACAGCAGCUUUUGGUCAUCGGUCGUAAAAUGCAAAGAGAAAAUAUUAAAUUUUGUUUUAAACUUGGGAAAACGUUUACUGAAACAUUUCAAAUGAUGAAAAAAGUUUAUGGUUAUCAGUGCCUAUCUCGUAGUAAUGUGCAUGAGUGGUUUAAGCGAUUCCAAGAAGGUCGUGAGGACCUCUGUGACGAUCAGAAGUCGGUCGUUUUCAGAAGUCAAAAAUAAAGACAAUGCUGAUUUGUUUUUACGAUUCCGAGGGUAUUGUACACCGAGAGUUCGUCCCACCUGGCCAAACGAUUAAUGCUGUGUUUUACCUUGGUGUUAUGAAGCGUCUUUUGUCACGCAUUUGUCGUGCUCGACCACAAUACCGUGAGGCAGGUCCUGGCGCCUGUUGCACGAUAAUGCGCCGUGUCAUCGGUCGACGCUUGUCACUGAUUUUUUGACAAAAAACUCUAUAUUAACCAUUAAUCACUCACCCUACUCACCUGAUCUGGCACCCUGUGUUACCUAUUUGGAAAACUUCAUUUGCCCAUGAAAGGAGACUGGUUUCAGGACAUUUCAGCUAUCCAAAAGGCGACGACCGAUAUUCUCAAGAGCAUUCCGAAAAAUGACCUUAAACACUCAUUUGAAAUGCUAAUUCCAGGCUAAACGCUGUAUCGAAGCACAAGGAAACUACUUUGAAUAAAAAAAUAUAACUUUUGAAAAAUGUUAAUUUUUUGUUGUUUUUUUUAACAGUCCUAUUUCUUUUGGGACAGACCUUGUAUAAAGAAAAAACUCUUCAAUAGACUUGACUUUUCUUAUGCUUUCAUGAAUCAGUAUCGGUCCAAUUUUGGUGUCUAAUUUUUGCCAUACUUCAUGGUUCUGAGUAAUUUUGCAAAACAUAAAAACACAUGUAGAAACCUCAAAACGGUUAAGUAUGACUCGUAAUGAUCGUUUAACCCUGUGGAAUGAAUUUGUGGUGAAUCACAACACUGUUAUAAAAGAAAACCAUAAAUAUUACUGACCGAAUUUGACGUGUUUUUGUCCAUUUCGACUCAAUUUGGGAGAGCCAUUCACUAGAUUGUUGGAUACCCGUCUCUAAUCUCUAGUUGAUGUCCUUUGUACAAAAGAUACUGAUUAUUUGUUACGAGUCUAGCAUUUAUACCCAAGACAUUAACUGAAAUGUAUGAGUCGAUACAUUAAAGACGUUGAGAUCGUUUGCUUACAGACUUAUAGCAAUACGACGGCUUACAAACACUUUUUCUUUAACUUUUUCGGUGUUAUCGUCAUUAACAGCUGUGGAUGGAUGCACAUGAGGCCAGUUUUCACAACCUUCACUUAACGCCAUGUACACCCGUAAUAUUUGUGUUCAUGAUAAGGUAGACUUUCGGAAACAAGAAAUCUCUCAAAAUAGCUAAUAGUUAAGAGUGACCAAAUACCCGUGUAUACUGUUCCAAUUUUUUCAAAAAAAAGUAGACAGGCUAGGGUAGGUCAUAGGGUUGUUCCAAAAAUCGAUGGAUCUCACUUUGUUCUUUGUGUGAACCAAAUAAUGUCCCAGUCGUUUCGCUAGAUUUUCCAAAGGUUGACACAGAUAUUUCAAACUCAGCCUGACAAAAGCCAGGCAUGUGGAAAAGAAAAUGACAAGCACACAGGCGUUUUAUAAGUUCAGUGCUAAAACGCAAGAGAAAAUCAGAGAACUGACCCGUUUCCAAUCGGAUGAAAUUGUAAUAAUCGUGCCCUUCCAUGCAAGUUCAUUGGCUUUACAAUUUCCGGCGAGAAUGCUGUAAUCUUAUACGGAAAGUGUUUGAAACUAAUGGUAAUGACGUCAUGCAUUUCUUGCCUAUUAUUCAGCGCACAGCCAGAGAACUUAAAGCCAGUAUAGCUGAUCAGCUAUCAGCACACUUCCUCGAAGGAGACUACACUUAAGCGCAAUACAUCUACCACUUCCCUGAUUGCAACCACCUCCGCUUGAAAGGCACUACAGUGCCCACUAAACUUCGUUUCAAGACUUCACCUCCUACCCUCACACUUAACUUCGAUUCAUCCUUGUGAUCAAAAAGGAACAGUUAAGAGAAGGAUCCGCGAUAACAUGUUCUAAAUUGUUAGGAAUAAGAGAAUGGACAAGCUAAUAGCUGUUUAUUACUCGUCCAAAGUAGAAAAUAAACAUCAGUUAAAACAGGCUGGCACCACAUAACUGCACAUAAGACUUGAAGUGAUAUUUAAUCGAUUUCAGUAAGCUUAUUUAAGUUGAGUUAACUCCAGCCCUCAGAGACCUGGGUGCUGAAACUUGCAGAGAAAUACAUGAACAUAUGAACAAGGAAUCUGCAAGUAACAUUCAUUGUGAUUUCUGUUUUUUCGUAUAACACAUUAUCUCGAUUGUUACUUAUUCAUUAAUAAAAUUUACGUAAGAUUGGUGCCAGUUUUCAGAGGUUUAUGUAAACUUUGUGGCGAAUAUUUUAUAUAUUUUCUUCCACACCCAUUCGUUACAACCAUUUUGACUACCUAUUAAAUUAGGCUAGAUCGCUGAUCAAAGAUGAACUCCUAGACUUAUAGAUUAGCAAAACACUUAUUGAAAUAAGUUAUCAUUUAUUCAGUUUGACGGGUCAUAUGAUCAGAAAUAAAUCCAAUUUGUUGAUAAGAAAUUUGAGUUUAUGUUUAAGCUUUUCAGGAAAAUUUAGGCAGUUGUUUAUCUCAGCAACAUCUGUCCAUCCAAACAUAAACUGCAGCAUUUUGUAUUUAUAGCAACUUUCUCGAAUAUAGACUCUAUGUUGGUUGCUUGAAGGUAGGACAAAGACGACUAGAGUUUUAAAAAGAAUAGAAAAUUAAAGUUUUUUCUCUAAUGUAAUAUUUAUUUGGUGUAAUAUAAGUACGAAAAUACGAAUACGAAUUAAAAAAUGUGUCAAAAUCCAAGCAACGUUUUAAAUAUUGAAAGUGUUCUCAAUAAUAUUUUGCAAAUUUUUCGAAUAUAUGAACUAAACUGAUAAUAAAUAUUUAUUAUAAAAAUUAAACAAAAUAAAUGAAAACGUGAUUGUUUAGUUUUCAAAGGUCUGGAUGAUUUGCAAAGCAAAUACACAGAAGAGAAAGUAUUGAAGAGAAAACGAAAAGUAUACAAAAGUAACUACCACGUAACAACCAAGUAAUUAUCAAGUAUGUACCAAGUAACUAACAAGUAACUAACAAGUAAGCAAGGUGUGUUUUAUAUUAUAUGGAGGCGUGCAGUAAGGCACUGAUAUGCAGUAUGUGUUAUGAGUAUUGGUAAGUAUUAGGACUAAGAACUGUUACACAAACGGAUGACGAUCACGAAGAACAAUGAAAACGUUACUCAGUAAAUGAAAAAUUAAAUACUGUUAAGGACAAAAUAUAUAUAUACCUUGUAUAGAGAGAGCAAAGUACAUUAACAAACUCUGGAAGUUACGUAUUUAUGUGCAAGUAGAUGGGUAGGUCUGUUGGAAAAUCUCGUUUUAGAGGAUUUUAGCGCUGCGUAAAACUACAGAAAUAAAAAAAAACUAUAAAUAAACCGAAGCAGCGGAUAAGUAGCAACAACUUUAUGUAUUUAAAUAUUUUACGCGACAAACAAAUACAAAAACAAUGUGAGAAAUUUAACAUAAAUAAAUAAAUACAAAUAAUUGUAGUACCUUAGCAACACAAAAUACUAUAAGAAUAAUAAGAAGAAACACAAAAAUUUAAAAUUCCCCUAAAUAAUGCAAACUAAUUGAAGAUUGCAAAACCAAAAGCAAAAACAAAAACUGCAAAGAUUGAACUCAAGCACUACAGUGAAAUUUGUGUGUGUAAAAUUGUAUAGCAGCGUAUAUAUGUAUAUGUAUAUAUGUAUAUUUAAGAAGAAAAUUCGCAUGAAAAUCAAUAUGCACUGAGAACUCUUGGAGUACAACUCAAGGACUACGUGCGGGUUAACAUUUAUUUAUUUAUUAAUUGAUUAGUUUUCGUCAGUUUGUAACUGUAAUCAACGCAUAGAAAAAAUGAAAAAAAAUACAAAAAAUGUCGAGGUGAUUUAAAAUAGAAAUAGAAAUGUUUCAGCAGUAAAUUAUUUUAUCAGGGUUUCACAACCCACUAUGUAUAUGUUUGUGUAUGAGUGUAAACUAGAUAAAUUCCAAACUAAUAAAUAUCAGUGGCAAAUGGACAAUUUUACUGUUAUUAAAUUCGUGUAAAAACAAGCAAAAAACGAUUAAAUGUAAACAAAUAAUAAUGAAAAAGAUAAAAACGAAACAAACUAAGCGCUUAAAAUGCAACUCCAAGCUAUUGUCAAGCGGAAUAUAAACGAAAUAUUGAAAAUACGAAAUUGUAUUGAAAAUCUAACUAAUAUUCUAUGUAGCGUCGAUAAUAUUUUCCCUUCAGAAGUGAAAACAAUACAUGUUAGCAGUUUGUAAAAGCAUUACAUAACUAAAGAAAUGGCAAAAUACUUUAAAAACCGUUAUACCAAAUAAACGGUAGUCACAGACAAACAACAACUGUAUAAAUACUUUUAUGUUUAAAUAGGCAAAUAUGUUUGUAUGUAUCCAAAAUACUAUAUAUUCCACAUACAUACAUAUAUAGAAGAGGACAAAACGAACUAAUUAAUUUUAGUACAACAACAAAUGAAGUAUAAACUUGUUUAAAAA